rnacentral:rRNA from 1 species
AUUGAACGCUGGCGGCAUGCCUUACACAUGCAAGUCGAACGGCAGCACGGGUGCUUGCACCUGGUGGCGAGUGGCGAACGGGUGAGUAAUACAUCGGAACAUGUCCUGUAGUGGGGGAUAGCCCGGCGAAAGCCGGAUUAAUACCGCAUACGAUCUACGGAUGACAGCGGGGGACCUUCGGGCCUCGCGCUAUAGGGUUGGCCGAUGGCUGAUUAGCUAGUUGGUGGGGUAAAGGCCUACCAAGGCGACGAUCAGUAGCUGGUCUGAGAGGACGACCAGCCACACUGGGACUGAGACACGGCCCAGACUCCUACGGGAGGCAGCAGUGGGGAAUUUUGGACAAUGGGCGAAAGCCUGAUCCAGCAAUGCCGCGUGUGUGAAGAAGGCCUUCGGGUUGUAAAGCACUUUUGUCCGGAAAGAAAUCCUUGGCCCUAAUACGGUCGGGGGAUGACGGUACCGGAAGAAUAAGCACCAGCUAACUACGUG